GGUUGAUCCUGCCGGACCCCACUGCUAUCGGGAUGGGACUAAGACAUGCUAGUUAAGCGCCUUCCAGCCAUGUGGGAGGUGCAGCGUACAGCUCAGUAACACGUGGCUAACCUGCCCUUGGGACGAAAACAACCCCGGGAAACUGGGGCUAAUUCUCGAUAGGUGAAGAACUCUGGAAUGAGUCUUUGCCUAAAAGGUGUCGGAUCAUGCUUUCGGCAUCGCCUAAGGAUGGGGCCGCGACCGAUCAGGUAGUUGGUGAGGUAAUGGCUCACCAAGCCUUUUACCGGUGCGGG
rnacentral:rRNA from 1 species